rnacentral:rRNA from 1 species
UACGGGAGGCAGCAGUGGGGAAUAUUGCACAAUGGGCGCAAGCCUGAUGCAGCCAUGCCGCGUGUAUGAAGAAGGCCUUCGGGUUGUAAAGUACUUUCAGUCGUGAGGAAGGUGUUAAGGUUAAUAACCUUAGCAAUUGACGUUAGCGACAGAAGAAGCACCGGCUAACUCCGUGCCAGCAGCCGCGGUAAUACGGAGGGUGCGAGCGUUAAUCGGAAUUACUGGGCGUAAAGGGCACGCAGGCGGUUAAUUAAGUUGGAUGUGAAAUCCCCGGGCUUAACCUGGGAAUGGCAUUCAAGACUGGUUAGCUAGAGUCCUGUAGAGGGGGUAGAAUUCCGAUGUGUAGCGGUGAAAUGCGUAGAGAUGUGGAGGAAUACCGGGUGGCGAAGGCGGCCCCUGGGACAAAGACUGACGCUCAUGUGCGAAAGCGUGGGGAGCAAACAGGGAUUAGAUACC